rnacentral:pre_miRNA from 1 species
UAUCUACUCCCUCCGUUUGGAAUUAUUUAUCGCGGAAAUGGAUGUAUCUAGAUGUAUUUUAGUUCUACAUACAUCCAUUUCCGAGACAAGUAAUUCCAAACGGAGGGAGGGAGUA